CCCCUGCCUGCCUGGGGCCACCUCCCUCCACUCCUCUGCAGCUUCUCUGCAUUGCUUCUUCUCCUUCACCUUUUUUGGUUGAUUUUCAUCUUGUACCCUUGGCAUUUUUGGUUGAGUGACAGAUGUUCAUAGGACAGGUCUCAGGCCACCAGUGGUGCCGUCUCCAGGGAGCCGAGUGGCGCUCGCUCCUGUGGUCACCCAGGGAGGGAGGCCCUUGUGACCCAACUGCAGACUCUGGGAGGGUGGGGUCAGGCUGAUUCCCCUUCAGGGUUCCCACCAACAGCUGAGGGGCUUCUCGGGGCCCCUUUGUUUCCUUUGGCCCCAUGAGUGCUGAGAGCUGAGUCCGGCUCCCAUGGCUCAGCUCAGCUUUUGCUUCCCCAGUUAUUGGUCAGCCCGGAUCCACGCCGCCCCAAGCAUCAGCCCAUCAUCCUUACUUUCCCCGUCUUUCAGACCUUGGCCCCCAAAAUUGUCACUGCUUUAGGAGUUCUUCAUUGAUUUCGAACAGACAUUUUAAGAUAGUUUUUUCUAGCUUGUGUUGUGUUUUUAAUGGGAGAGUUGGUCAGCGUCUGCUGGAACAGAGCUACGCCUAUGGAACCGUAGACUUGUUCGUGCUUUAUUGUAAGUUUCAGUCGCUCCUGUGUGCAUGUGUGCAUGUGCCUGGUGUGUGUGUCUUUGCAUGUGUGUGCUCACAUCUACAUGUGCGUCUGCACAUGUGCAUCUGUGCAUGUGUCCGUCUGUCUGCAUGUAUCUGUGCAUGUGUGUGCACAUGUGCAUGUGUGUGAUCUGAGGCAUCUUCCCAUGACUGCUGCUUUCUGCUCCAGUUGCUCCUGGCUGAGCAUCAGUGCAGCAUCAGUGCACCCCCUCAGCACCUGGACACCACUCCAGAGACUUCUGAGCAGAGGCUGACAGCGCAGGGGGGCUUACUAGCUGCCUUUCAUGCUGGCCGUGGUGGGUGAGCUGUCCAGCUCUCCUCUCCCAGAUCUUCCAGGGGCCAGCAGGCUUCCACUAACCACAGGGCCUGGGGGCACUUCAGUCUACCAGGGCAGAUGCUUGCCAGGCCCAUGGGGACCAGCAGGCUCCCGCAGGCCCUCCCAAAGCCACAUGCAGCAGUGCGGCUGGCAAGCCCCACUUGGGGGAGACCCUGCUGUUGCCGGCCAGGCCUGUGGGACAAGUACAGUCUGACAUCUUUGCCGAUGGCCUGGAGAUGAGCACCCCCUGCUCUCUCCUCGAUGUUGCAGCAGAACCCACGCGUAGAGAGGGUUGGGGCGAGCAGUCCAGGCAGACCCCCGGGAUUUUCCUGCCGUAUUGCACAAGCAUUCAUGCGUUCAUUUAAUCUUGCUUUUUUAGGCAAUACUUUAAAGACACAAAGUCUCAACAACCAUCUUCCGCUUGACGAGACAGAUCAUUCUAAUUUGAGCAGAAGCUACUAUGUCCUGCCCUUUGAACGCGGCGGCCCGGACAGCUGACAAGGACACACUGUGUAUUUCCAUUCCAAUUCUGGGAGUGCUCUGAGGCCUCUGGGGGAGAAGGACCCAUGAAAUAUUCAAAACAUAAGUGAAUAAAAUAUCUAGGUGCUAGAUAUGGGCCAGGAAGAGCCCUCGGCCCUGCAAAGUGUGUGUGAUGGUGAGAAGCUACCGGAAGAGAUGGUCCCUGUGCUUGGUUCAUUCCUUGGACAUUUAUCAAGCUGACGAAUGUAGCAGAGGUGCUUCAGUCGGCUGUAAUUCCACGGGUGGAGUGCUGGCUGGAGAGUUACCUGGGGCUGUCACACUGCAUGGGCUCCGGGACACUGUGGCUGCCCUUAUGUGGUGUCCCCGGAGGGCCCUGCAGGUGUCACACCGCUGCUCCACACUGCCACCUGCUGUCAGCAUCUGUGCAACGUAUCCAGGUCUCUGGGGGCCAGAUGAAAAACAGAGCAGCCCCGGGGGGGCAGGGCGGGGCGCCAGGAGGGCUCGUUGAUGUCCAGAGUUCUGCUUCUCUGCCAGGCGUUGUGGUAACUUGCUAGCCAUCCCCUUCUGCUCUGUGCACUUCUCUGUAUGUAACACUGUAACGAAAGUUAAAGAAUAAAGAGUGCAGACAGGCCGGCCGCGGUGGCUCACGCCUGUAAUCCCAGCACUUUGG
rnacentral:lncRNA from 1 species